AUGAACGCUGGCGGCGUGCUUAACACAUGCAAGUCGAACGCAGCAUUUAAGACAGAUUACUUCGGUUUGAGGUCUUUUAUGACUGAGUGGCGGACGGGUGAGUAACGCGUGGGUAACCUGCCUCAUACAGGGGGAUAGCAGCUGGAAACGGCUGGUAAUACCGCAUAAGCGCACAGUACCACAUGGUACAGUGUGAAAAACUCCGGUGGUAUGAGAUGGACCCGCGUCUGAUUAGCUUGUUGGCGGGGUAACGGCCCACCAAGGCGACGAUCAGUAGCCGACCUGAGAGGGUGACCGGCCACAUUGGGACUGAGACACGGCCCAGACUCCUACGGGAGGCAGCAGUGGGGAAUAUUGCACAAUGGAGGAAACUCUGAUGCAGCGACGCCGCGUGAGUGAAGAAGUAGUUCGCUAUGUAAAGCUCUAUCAGCAGGGAAGAUAGUGACGGUACCUGACUAAGAAGCUCCGGCUAAAUACGUG
rnacentral:rRNA from 1 species